AUUGAACGCUGGCGGCAGGCCUAACACAUGCAAGUCGAACGAGUGGCGGACGGGUGAGUAAUGUCUGGGAAACUGCCUGAUGGAGGGGGAUAACUACUGGAAACGGUAGCUAAUACCGCAUACCAUCGGAUGUGCCCAGAUGGGAUUAGCUAGUGGGUGGGGUAACGGCUCACCUAGGCGACGAUCCCUAGCUGGUCUGAGAGGCUGACGAGCCACACUGGAACUGGGACACGGUCUAGACUCCUACGGGAGGUAGCAGUGGGGAAUAUUGCACAAUGGGCGCAAGCCUGAUGCAGCCAUGCCGCGUGUAUGAAGAAGGCCUUCGGGUUGUAAAGUACUUUCAGCGGGGAGGCGUUACCCGCAGAGGAAGCACCGGCUAACUCCGUGACAGCAGCCGCGGUAAUUC
rnacentral:rRNA from 1 species